rnacentral:rRNA from 1 species
AUUGAACGCUGGCGGCAUGCCUUACACAUGCAAGUCGAACGGCAGCACGGGAGCAAUCCUGGUGGCGAGUGGCGAACGGGUGAGUAAUAUAUCGGAACGUGCCCAGUCGUGGGGAUAACGUAGCGAAAGCUACGCUAAUACCGCAUACGAUCUAUGGAUGAAAGCGGGGGAUCGCAAGACCUCGCGCGAUUGGAGCGGCCGAUAUCAGAUUAGGUAGUUGGUGAGGUAAAGGCUCACCAAGCCGACGAUCUGUAGCUGGUCUGAGAGGACGACCAGCCACACUGGGACUGAGACACGGCCCAGACUCCUACGGGAGGCAGCACGUGGGGAAUUUUGGACAAUGGGCGCAAGCCUGAUCCAGCAAUGCCGCGUGCAGGAUGAAGGCCUC